rnacentral:rRNA from 1 species
CUAAAGUACUCAGUUCGGAUUGAAGGCUGAAAUUACGCCUUCCAUGAAGCUGGAAUUGCUAGUAAUGGCAGGUCAGCAUACUGCCGUGAAUACGUUCCCGGGCCUUGUACACACCGCCCGUCACACCAUGAGAGUUGGGAAUACCCGAAGCCUGUGAGCCAACUAUAUAGAGGCAGCAGUCGAAGGUAGAAUCAAUGAUUGGGGUGAAGUCGUAACAAGGUACC